UGAGGAAUAUUGGUCAAUGGGCGCUAGCCUGAACCAGCCAAGUAGCGUGAAGGAUGAAGGCUCUAUGGGUCGUAAACUUCUUUUAUAUAAGAAUAAAGUGCAGUAUGUAUACUGUUUUGUAUGUAUUAUAUGAAUAAGGAUCGGCUAACUCCGUGCCAGCAGCCGCGGUAAUACGGAGGAUCCGAGCGUUAUCCGGAUUUAUUGGGUUUAAAGGGAGCGUAGGUGGACUGGUAAGUCAGUUGUGAAAGUUUGCGGCUCAACCGUAAAAUUGCAGUUGAUACUGUCAGUCUUGAGUACAGUAGAGGUGGGCGGAAUUCGUGGUGUAGCGGUGAAAUGCUUAGAUAUCACGAAGAACUCCGAUUGCGAAGGCAGCUCACUGGACUGCAACUGACACUGAUGC
rnacentral:rRNA from 1 species